AACCAAUGUAACUUUGACUUUUACAGAACUUACAGGACCUAGGAAUGCAAACCCAGGAAGCAUCAGCAUACAUGAUUAUGUUACAUUAUGUAAAGAGGACAAAGAUGCAGUGAAAACAGCUCAGGGUGGAGGAAAUGGCAGCUGUCUGUUGCAAUGUGAUGCUGUUCAUUUUGUAUGUGAGAAAAUAUGUCUGACAAUAAGCUCAGUUCAACAAGCACAUUGAAGAUCUUGGAGGACACAGAAAUGAGGAAUAUUCUGCAGAAGUACACACCUGUGGAAUCUUAGCAAUCAGAAAAAAAGCCAACAGCAGCAUCAACAGCAGCAUCAACAGCAGCA
rnacentral:sRNA from 1 species